GUUAAAUUUGUCCACCUCAAUACGUAUGACGUCAUCACGUAAUGUGUACGUGUACAUCACGUGACGUGCAAAUGCAGUAGUGUCAAGAGUGAAACAAGAAUGGCCUUUGCAAGUGACCAAGACGUAAAGGUACAAUUUUUAAUACAGCUAGGUAGUCCAAAAAUUAUUAUUUUAUUUUAUUUUUUAAAUAGGAGGAAGAAGAGUAAGCCUGUUACAAAUCAUUUCUUAAUGGCGUGUAACUUUCUUUACCGCUGCUUUCAGUUUCUCACAUGGUGAAAGCAUGAGCCUGUUUGUAAACAAUUGUUGUGCACCACGCAGCUGAGUUGGUCAUUUUUAGUCUUUGUGUAAUGAUUACAAUAAGUGAUGACAAUUGUGUUUACUCCUUCUCUUCUCUAUCACCGCUUCCGGGGCAUGAUUCAUUUACGCCAUUUUGUGUGUUGUAGUCAAGAUGAAAGUCAUAUUGCAUUAAAUAUCAAAUAGCGGUUUGUGUCAGUCGUGAGAAAUGUAUCAGUCAUCUCUUAGUCAUUCUGGAUUCACAAAACAACCAUUAUGACUGGAGAUACACUCUACUGACCACCUUUAUAAAAUGCUAGUGCUAAAUUAUUAUUGAUAACUUUCAAAAAUUCAAAAAGACUUUUCCAUUCGUUCAUUUCUUUCUUUAUUUUAAGUCUGUAGUAAAUUAUCCCACUGUACAUAUUUCAAAACGUAGCAUUAGCCAUGGAUUGCGGAACGGACCAAAAAAAAAGCUAUUUCAUUAGCUAUUGCUGGUCACAGUUACACAGUUAUUACAUAAGUACUAUGUGUUUUAUUAAAGGUUUCCGAACCAUGUCAAGAUAAUCCGUAUGGAUUUAAUGGUGUGGUUGUGUUCGGAGAUAAAACCUAUAGCAUGACUCCAGGAAUUAUCCCAGAUAUGACUGGCUUCAAUCAAUACCUUACUAGACGUGGAAACGGCUUCAUUACUGGAAUCAUUAAUGCAGACCAUCAGAAUAAUGCUCAAGCAUCUCGUCAAACGCUGUCAGUGAAUGUAACGGUUACUGUGUCUGCUAUAUCGCCCCCAAUGAACACUCACGACCAACCAGGAGGUCGUCACAUGGACCCACCUUUUACUGAUGGUGACGUGUUACACUCCGUUUAUGGAUCGGGAGGGAACAGGUCUCAGCUUUGGGACAGAGAUGAACAACACGAUGAAGAGGAGAACAAUGUACGUCUGAAGAUGAAGAAGGAAAAAGCUGGAAGAAGGAGGAAAAAAUCCCGUCAUGCUGGUCAUUAGAGGGGCUAAAGAUCUGACCAGCAUGUUUCAGAUCAAACGAAAAAUAAUAUUCAUAGGAUUUUCAUUAUUUUUUACUUUUUGCUAAACUAAUUUUAAGAUGCGGUCAUAUUGACCAUUUGACGAAUUUGUGCAGACAAAAUCCAGUCAUUUCAAUGGAAAUUUACACAGAAGUUUACCCAAGCAGAUUUUACACUGGGUUCAAGUUGGUCAAGCAAAUUCACUGCUUGGUUUGAAAGUGACUCCUGAGUUGUGCUUCAAACAGCACUAAACUGAUGAAAAUCUUUGUGACCGCAACUUUAUUGCAUGUUCACUAACAAAAUAAGUUUGUUGUGUGUUUAUUAACAAAAUAAGUGCGUGUUCCCUAAAAAAAAAAAAGUUUAUUGUGUUUACUGAUAAAAUAAGCUGCUUUUAUAUGCUACUAAAUUAAUCCAAAACUGCAGUAUUAAAAGGAUGAUUCACCCAAAAAUAAAAAUUACCCCAUUAUUUACUCAUCCAGUGUAUUUGCCUUUCUUCUUUCAAUGUCUUCCAAGCUUUAUAAUGGGAGUUAAUGGGGGUCAAGACUUUAAAGCAACAUAAAGUGCAUCCAUCCAACAUAAAAAAGUGCUCAACACAAUGUUUUUGUGUAAGAAAAAUAUCAUCUGUCUCAUCUGUCAUCUCAAGCUUCUGUUAAGUGUUGUGCAUGUGUUCACAAGAGAGUGACGUCCAGCAGAUGAUGUAGGCGUAGCGUAAGCUCUGGUUGGGGCUGUCCACACCAAGAAUGAUAACUAUAUCAAUGACUACAAGUUUUAUGAGAAUAGAGAAAAUCAUACCACAACUUUAACAAUAACAACACAGAAGAACAAUAUCAUUAAAAUCACCUUCAGGACAAUUUUUGUUCAAUAGGUUGUGGGCACUAUAGCUGAAGUAGAACUGGUAAGUGGACCAUCCAAGAACUUUUGGGAUUCUCAAGUUAACAAUACAAUUUGGGAGACAUUCAUUCUAAUUCAGAAUUUGAUUUAAGACAGUAUGUAAAUGGAGAUUACAGUAUCCAGCAACAGUAAUGGUUAUCUUUACAGCAAAUCUUUCUUGGUGUGACCGGGCCUUUAGUAGGAAUGGGCAUUUAUAGUGUUUAAAAAUGGUCGUAUCAUCAAGGCAAACUAUUAUUGGAUUAAAUUCACAUUUGUGUUCAUUGAAUUUGAGGAUUAUUCAUUGUCACUUUAGGUGUAUUAUCACUUUAUCAAUACUGUCACGAUCAUUAGCUGGAGUGCCCAUGAGCUUCAGUAGAGGGCACUCCACUCAGGACUCAUUCAUUUCCCAUCCUGCCUCAUUCCUUGUACUGAUUGCACACCUGCAUCUGAUUACACACCUGCGGCUAAUACACACACUCACACACCCAUAUAAGCAGCACACUCACUCCAACAUAUUGUGAAGUCUUGUUUAGCCUGUCUAGCAUUUCUGAGCGUUUUCCCUUGUGUUUGUUCUUCCCGUGUCUGAUCUUUGAUUGUGUAUUUCGACUCUGAUUCUCUGCUGCCUGUCCCGAUCUCUGCUUGGUUCUGUUUUCGAUUCUGGUUUCCCCUAACAUACCUGACGCCAUUCCUGAUUUCUGCCUGUCCUACCAUUCUCUGAAUAAAGUUCUGCACAUGGAUCCGAACGCCUAUGACUCUCUUUGUAACAAAUAUACAGUAAAGCACCAUAUAAAUGCCUAAUUAAUUAAUUAAUUCAUUCAUUUAUAAAUAUUAACAACAUGGUUGAACAUGUGUUUUAUAUAUUUAUUCUGACUAUAUAAAUACACAUGCAUGUAUAUAUUUUCAAAAUAUGUAUUUACGUUUAUAUUUAUAUUCAUAUAAUUUAUAUUACAUAUAAAUAUUUAAUAUCUAAACAUAUUUUUUCUGAAAUAUAUACAUGCAUGUAUCAUGUGAAUUUAUAUAUAAACAUACACAGUACACAACCACAUAUUACGUAACUAAAACAUUUAUUUUGAAUGCGAUUGAUCACGAUGUUAUUGGUAAUUAUUUCAGAGACAGAAUAAAUAAUCCCCCAGGUAUCAGUCUUUACUUUAUUAAAGUCAACUUAUUUAAAUAUUUGAUUCAUUUAAAGCUAAAGGACAGAUAUUAAAAAUUAGCAUACAUUACCAUUCAAAGGUUUUUGAACAGUAAGUAAAAUUCUCUUUAGCUCACCUUAAACCGCAUAAACACAUUGCAUUACACCAAAUACACAACAUAAUGUUCUUUUUAGCAAUGUCAUGUGACCCCUUUAAUACCAGUCAUGUGCAAAUAAACUGCCCUCUCAUUGGUCAAAGUUCCACGGUUUAGCUUCUGGAAUUCCCCUCAUAGCUGUCACCUGUCAGGAUGGAACGACAACAGCUUUGAGGGCUUAUUGUUGAGUAUUUUUGUAGCUGUCAUUACAUAAAUGUAUUAAUUUAUCACUUUAAGCAGGAGUCCAGGAUUUGUCAGGAGAACAUUUUUAGACUGCACCUGCUACGAAGAAGAGCAAUAAGACGGUAUUAUAAAAUGAAAAGGAUCACUUUGAUUUUCAAUGCCGAAUACGUGUUCACCCACAGACAUCGUCUACUGCUUUUCACGGAACUUACAUAAUCACCCACUAUAUAUAUUGUGAUAUAGCCUGAUUCGUUGGUCUGCUAGAUCGCUUUGCUUUCUCACUACAAAUGAACUCCUCCAGAGUCCAGAGUUUGUUAUUAAUUGUUUUGGCGUGGAUCAGAGCAUGAUUGCCGUGUUCACAUAUGCCCAAACUAACCAAGCUAAGGGGAGAAACGCGCCAGGUUCUGAAAAAACUGGGAAGGUUUAAAAGCACCUCAAUCUUUCAUUUCAGUUAGCCAGUGUUAUGCUACAUCCAAACCAGAAAUGGCCCUAAUCUGCUUUAUAAUAUAUGGGGCAUAUUUGCCAUGUCACUGGCCUUACAGUACACACUGAUUAGCCAAUGCUGACUGUGCUGUAUAUUUGCCAUAGAGGACAAAUUUUUUAUUAAUUAUUUGUCAUUUUAUAUGUGGGCCAAUUUAGGCUCACAGCCACAUUGACCAAAACUGGCCGAGAUAUGUUUCAGGAUAACUGGGCCACAUUUGUGCCAACAAGGGCCACUUUAGGCUCAGAGCCACAUUAACCAGUGCUUACUUACAAAAAAUUGGCUCAGAUACAUUUUAAUAUACCUGGACCACAUUUGCUGUAACAUAUGUGGACCACUUUUGGUUUAAACCCUGAUAGCCUUUGUUGAUUGUGCCUCAUUUUUGCCAAAGGUGGCCCACAUUUGGUUAACACUAUUUAGGCCAUAUUCACUAUUUUCCACAUGGGUUACUUUAGGGUCUCAUUAAGAUUACACAUAGGGUGACCAUAUGCACCGUUCAUACGGGACACGUCCAAGCCAGAAUUUUAAUAAUGCCUUAAACAUCCAGAGCAGCUUGACCAAUAACAUGCAGGUAUUGUACAUAGUCGAACAAUCGUCGACCAAUCGUGGGGCUGCGUGUGAGAAGGUGAGAUCUAGAGGGAACAAUCAAAGCUAUGCAAAUAUGCGCACAUGUUUGUUCGUUCGAUUGACUUGAAGCGUCGCUGCGCACAAAUCCAAAAAAACAAAAACAAAGUGCGCCACAAUCCUUCAAGUUAAACGAACAAACAUAAACGUAAAAGCGAUUCAAAAGCAUAAGGAGCCGUCUGCUCUGCUCUUUAUAGCUCUCAUGAAUGUAUCACAAUGAUCAACCUGCACAGUACAAAUAGCCAAAACGUGGAUAUUUUAGGCAAUAUUAAAAUACUGGCUGGGACGUGUCCCAUAUGAACGGCGCAUAUGGUCACCCUAAUUACACAUUGUUGUGAACACCAAAUCUUUGCCUACAGAGGCCCACAUGUGAUUUGAAAAACCAUUUUGUAAUUUUUCAUGUGGGCCAAUUCAGGCCACAAGAAGGGCAGCAGUGCGAUAUCAUUGCCUUAACUUGCCAACACACGAUGCUAUCUAUGAUUACCAGGCGGCAAGGAAGUCAACCGGAAGUCAACCGUGCCGCCAUCUUGUAGCAGAACUUCACUUGCGUUAGCAUCCCAUUGACUCCCAUUUAUUUUGGCGUCACUUUGACAGCGAAUAACUUUACAUCUGAGGCGUUUAAAGACUCCAUUUGUCCAUUAUUUAUUUCUAAAGAUACACGACAAUGUAUAAAGGGCUCCAUUACCUUCUAUUUUACAUUAUGGCCCCGUAGAAACAGUUUUUGUAAAAAUAGGCUAACGAUUGCGACAUAACCACUCGACUCUCUGUCGCAUUACCGUACAGACAGGAGGAGAAGCUCGCAGGCAAUUAAAUUAAUAUGGCGUACUGGCAUUACAUUUUAAAAUACUAUACAAAAUAAUUAAUCAGAAUACUUACUCCUGCUCACUCACGACAAAGAACUCCCCGCUCAAGCUCGCCAUCUCUGCAAGAUUAACGAUGGCAGUUUGCACGCACAGCCACUUAGAAGAUUUACAUCUGUCAGACAGGUUGCUGACGUCGUCAAGCUUCGUUUGAGUCUGCGCGUCAGAAACGGAAGUGCUAAAAAUAGCUAAAAAUGGGCUUCACUUGUCUCAAUAAGUUCCAAUGGGGUCGCUGUGUCCAUUUCUUUUACUGUCUAUGGGGAUUACUCAGUAUCACAUGAUACUUCAGAGAUCAUUCUAAUAUGCUGCAAGAAGAGGUGUUAGUGAGGCCAGCAGGGGGUGCAUACCCUGUGAUGACUUACAGUACUACUCUCUGCAAUAACAUUUAGAAAGAAAUUAGUUCAAAUAUAGCUUGCACUAGUUUACUUUAAAAUGUAUAUUUGUGCACAGAGUAAAAUGUUAAAAGAUC
ensembl:lncRNA